UCGGAGGUACUCGAGUGGCGAACGGGUGAGUAACACGUGGGUAAUCUGCCCUGCACUUCGGGAUAAGCCUGGGAAACUGGGUCUAAUACCGGAUAGGACCUUUUGGCGCAUGCCUUUUGGUGGAAAGACUUUUGCGGUGUGGGAUGGGCCCGCGGCCUAUCAGCUUGUUGGUGGGGUGACGGCCUACCAAGGCGACGACGGGUAGCCGGCCUGAGAGGGUGUCCGGCCACACUGGGACUGAGAUACGGCCCAGACUCCUACGGGAGGCAGCAGUGGGGAAUAUUGCACAAUGGGCGCAAGCCUGAUGCAGCGACGCCGCGUGGGGGAUGACGGCCUUCGGGUUGUAAACCUCUUUCAGCAGGGACGAAGCGCAAGUGACGGUACCUGCAGAAGAAGCACCGGCCAACUACGUGCCAGCAGCCGCGGUAAUACGUAGGGUGCGAGCGUUGUCCGGAAUUACUGGGCGUAAAGAGCUCGUAGGUGGUUUGUCGCGUUGUUCGUGAAAACCGGGGGCUUAACCCUCGGCGUGCGGGCGAUACGGGCAGACUGGAGUACUGCAGGGGAGACUGGAAUUCCUGGUGUAGCGGUGGAAUGCGCAGAUAUCAGGAGGAACACCGGUGGCGAAGGCGGGUCUCUGGGCAGUAACUGACGCUGAGGAGCGAAAGCGUGGGGAGCGAACAGGAUUAGAUACCCUGGUAGUCCACGCCGUAAACGGUGGGUACUAGGUGUGGGUUUCCUUCCUUGGAAUCCGUGCCGUAGCUAACGCAUUAAGUACCCCGCCUGGGGAGUACGGCCGCAAGGCUAAAACUCAAAGGAAUUGACGGGGGCCCGCACAAGCGGCGGAGCAUGUGGAUUAAUUCGAUGCAACGCGAAGAACCUUACCUGGGUUUGACAUGCACAGGACGCCGGCAGAGAUGUCGGUUCCCUUGUGGCCUGUGUGCAGGUGGUGCAUGGCUGUCGUCAGCUCGUGUCGUGAGAUGUUGGGUUAAGUCCCGCAACGAGCGCAACCCUUGUCUCAUGUUGCCAGCGGGUAAUGCCGGGGACUCGUGAGAGACUGCCGGGGUCAACUCGGAGGAAGGUGGGGAUGACGUCAAGUCAUCAUGCCCCUUAUGUCCAGGGCUUCACACAUGCUACAAUGGCCGGUACAAAGGGCUGCGAUGCCGUAAGGUUAAGCGAAUCCUUUUAAAGCCGGUCUCAGUUCGGAUCGGGGUCUGCAAYUCGACCCCGUGAAGUCGGAGUCGCUAGUAAUCGCAGAUCAGCAACGCUGCGGUGAAUACGUUCCCGGGCCUUGUACACACCGCCCGUCUNNACGUCAUGAAAGUCGGUAACACCCGAAGCC
rnacentral:rRNA from 1 species